rnacentral:sRNA from 1 species
AGCUGCGAGUGAUAGUCUAUUAAGCCUAUUAUUAUUUUGUUAUAGCUUUUUGUGCAUGUGCUGAUGUUUAAGUAGAUAAGGCGAUUCUCUAUGGAUAUGUACAUAUGCUUGGCUUAUCUGUCAUGGACAACAAAACAUUCACCUAUGUUGGCACCUGCAUGAGCUUGGAUAUUUUAUGCCAUGGAUAUACCUUAAACAAAAUCAGAUCUUAAUUAUGACCAAAAUUAACUCGUUGCCAAUCUGCGCCGAUUCUCAAAUCAACAUUUUGAAUUGAAUUCUGUCGAUUUGAAGACUCACGAAUCCUUAAGAGUAACAUAUGUAUAUCCAACGUCUGACCCAAAUCUGCCAACGUUCAUGGAAAACAUCGUCAACAUCAACAACAUCAACAAAUAUCGUUUUUUCUUCGGUGGAGUUAUGUAUCUUUCAAAUAAAACAAAAGCAAUAUUUCUGAACGGCGGACCUGCGCCGCCAGCUGUAUCAGCCAACUCUGCCACACCCAUGGACAACAUUUAAUCAGCAAAUGAUCGCUAUUUAUGGUACCUAGUUGACCUACAUGUCCUUGGUUAUUUCACAUCAUGGAUAUAGUCCUAGCGAACCUAAUGGAUGAAGUUCUUGCAAAAUGCGUGGGAACAGGCUCCAAAAUAUGUAUGAUUUUCUUUAACAGCCGCCCCCAUAAACAGUUCCGCCCCCUAAAUGGUUUCUAGUUGACUAGAAUAUCCUUGGUUAUACCAUACCAUCGAUAUAGUCCUUAGAAACCUUAAAGAUCAGAUCC